AAAAAUUUUUAUAAAUUAUAUUUAAAUUACAAAAAGUGGAUUUUAUAUAAAUUCAAAUGAAUACGUUUCGAAAAAUCGGGAUUUCAAAAUUUCUUUUGUGCAGUGUUUAAACUACAAAAAAAUGGAUAAACAAACUGAAGAUGAGCCUAAACUUUUAAACGUUUCAGAAAAUGCACCUCCUCAACCAACUACGUCUGAACGUCUUAAUGACCUCAUCAAGUAUUUUGAGGAACGCAUUGCGGCUAAUGUUGAGGAGUAUCAAUUGGACAAACAAAGAUUUAUUAAACAAAAUGAACAAUUCCGAAAGACUAAACGUAAAAUAUCGUACUCUGAGGUUCAGCAGGACAUAACUAAAAAGGAAGAAUGAAGCCUCAAAAAAACUACCAAUACGCGAUUAAGAGCUCAUAAGAAAUUUCUUCUGUUCUGGGUUUUUUUGAACAUUAUUGUUAGUUAUUACUUAUGCGAUAUAAUUAUUGUAAUACGUGAAACAGUUCCAGGACUGAUCAUUUUCCGUGACCUUCUGGAUCUGCGAGUAAACACUUAAAAACUAUUUAACACCGUAAAGUGGGAAAGAGACCAAGAAGCACAUACUCCUAUACUAAACAUCGAAUAUAAAUAAAAACUUAAUCGAGGUUUGAUGCAAGUGCUAAUAACGGAUUAUGUUAUAGUAUCUGCUAAGCAUUUAAUUUGAUAAUAUUUGUGAGAAAUAUUUAUUUAAAAAUAUCUGUCAGUUCCAGGUUUAUUCACUUCCAGUGAGCUUGUUGAUCUGAAAAAAAGCUCAUCAACACCAAACUUGCAAGUAGAAAUUAAAUACUGAAAAUGCUACAUAAAUAAAAAAUUAACCCAAGUUUGGUGCUUUCUGUGCAAUAUUGGACACUUCCGAGAGUGGAAGGAAGACUUAAGUUCUAGAAUUCAUCACUUCUAGAGAUCUUGUUGAUCUGAAGCUCAUCAACAUCGAACUUAAAAGCAGGAAUUGAAUACAGAAGGUGGUACACAAAUAAAAACUUACAUUGGUUUUGGAACUUUCUAUACAAUUUUGGACACUUGCGGGAGUGGAAGGAAGACUUAAGAUAAUACCAGUGUGAUGUAAUUAUUGUAAUAGAUGCGCCAGUACCAAGACUGAUCAUUUGCUAUACCUUCUUGAUCUGAGAGUUAAGACAAAGAAACUCAUUAACAUUAAACUUUUAAAGUUGGAUCUUGUUGGAUACUUGAGUAAACUUAAGAUUUGGUC